GUGCUCGCUUUUGGCAGCAUAUAUACUAAAAUUGGAAUGAUACAGAGCAGAUUAGCAUGGCCCCUGUGCAGGAUGAUACAAAAAUUUGUGAAAUGUUCCAUAUUUAA
rnacentral:snRNA from 1 species